rnacentral:rRNA from 1 species
GAUGAACGCUGGCGGCGUGCCUAAUACAUGCAAGUCGAGCGAACAGACGAGGAGCUUGCUCCUCUGACGUUAGCGGCGGACGGGUGAGUAACACGUGGAUAACCUACCUAUAAGACUGGGAUAACUUCGGGAAACCGGAGCUAAUACCGGAUAAUAUAUUGAACCGCAUGGUUCAGUAGUGAAAGACGGUUUUGCUGUCACUUAUAGAUGGAUCCGCGCCGCAUUAGCUAGUUGGUAAGGUAACGGCUUACCAAGGCAACGAUGCGUAGCCGACCUGAGAGGGUGAUCGGCCACACUGGAACUGAGACACGGUCCAGACUCCUACGGGAGGCAGCAGUAGGGAAUCUUCCGCAAUGGGCGAAAGCCUGACGGAGCAACGCCGCGUGAGUGAUGAAGGUCUUCGGAUCGUAAAACUCUGUUAUUAGGGAAGAAUAGAUGUGUAAGUAACUAUGCACGUCUUGACGGUACCUAAUCAGAAAGCCACGGCUAACUACGUG